GACGAACGCUGGCGGCGUGCUUAACACAUGCAAGUCGAACGGAAAGGCCCUGCUUUUGUGGGGUGCUCGAGUGGCGAACGGGUGAGUAACACGUGAGUAACCUGCCCUUGACUUUGGGAUAACUUCAGGAAACUGGGGCUAAUACCGGAUAGGAGCUCCUGCUGCAUGGUGGGGGUUGGAAAGUUUCGGCGGUUGGGGAUGGACUCGCGGCUUAUCAGCUUGUUGGUGGGGUAGUGGCUUACCAAGGCUUUGACGGGUAGCCGGCCUGAGAGGGUGACCGGCCACAUUGGGACUGAGAUACGGCCAAGACUCCUACGGGAGGCAGCAGUGGGGAAUAGUGCACAAUGGGCGGAAGCCUGAUGCAGCAACGCCGCGUGCGGAAUGACGGCCUUCGGGUUGUAAACCGCUUUCGCCUGUGACGAAGCGUGAGUGACGGUAAUGGGUAAAGAAGCACCGGCUAACUACGUG
rnacentral:rRNA from 1 species